rnacentral:rRNA from 1 species
UACGGCUACAUCACAUUGAAACACCGGUUCACGUACGAUCACCGAAGUUAAGCAACGUUGAGUCUGGUCAGUACCUAGAUGGGUGACCGCUUGGGAAUACCAGGUGAUA